AUUGUUAUUUGUUAUUUUAAGAAUAAAAUUAAAAAUUAAUUAAUAAUAAUUGUUGUAUAAAAAAUUUAUGAUAGUUAAUUAAUUUGAUAUUUGUCAAGCCAAUCAUUGAACGAAUUCCAGUAGAUCUCGACGCUCAUUGGACAACAAAAAGCUGUAAAAAAAACUAAGAGGAAAAAAGAAAGAGAAAGAAAAAAAAAGUGGAGAACAUUUUCUCCGUGUUAUGUAAAUUGAAAUAAAUUAAUAUAAAAAAAAACCGAUAACGUAUAUCAACCAUCACGUUGUGAAAAAGUUAUUGAAGAAUUAAGACAGUGCUGUAUAAUAAAUUCUGAAUCAUUAGUUUGUGAAGGUAUUGAUAAAUCAAAACCCUACGAACACAAUACAGUUGAUUAU